GUUGUAUAGUCAAGUAAUUAAGUGCAUGUGGUGGAUGCCUUGGCAGUCAGAGGCGAUGAAAGACGUGAUAGCCUGCGAAAAGCUCCGGGGAGGCGGCAAAUAUCCUGUGAUCCGGAGAUGUCUGAAUGGGGAAACCCACUUACCAUAAGGUAGGUAUUGCAUGAUGAAUACAUAGUCAUGCAAGGCGAACGAGGGGAAGUGAAACA
rnacentral:rRNA from 1 species